rnacentral:rRNA from 1 species
GAUCAUGGCUCAGGAUAAACGCUGGCGGCGUGCCUAACACAUGCAAGUCGAACGAAGAGGCUCCCUUCGGGGAGCACCUCAGUGGCGCACGGGUGAGUAACACGUAGGUGACCUGCCCCGAAGCAGGGAAUAACGGCUCGAAAGGGCCGCUAAUACCCAAGAGGAUCGCGUAUCAAACCGCGAUCAGAGCUACGGCGUUUCGGGAGGGGCCUGCGGCCCAUCAGCUAGUUGGUAGGGUAAUGGCCUACCAAGGCGAUGACGGGUAGGGGGCCUGAGAGGGUGGUCCCCCACACUGGCACUGACACACGGGCCAGACUCCUACGGGAGGCAGCAGUGAGGAAUAUUGCACAAUGGGCGAAAGCCUGAUGCAGCAACGCCGCGUGGGUGAUGAAGGCCUUCGGGUCGUAAAACCCUUUUCUGGGGAAAGAGAGAGGACGGUACCCCAGGAAUAAGGUUCGGCUAACUACGUGCCAGCAGCCGCGGUAAAACGUAGGAACCGAGCGUUAUCCGGAUUCAUUGGGCGUAAAGCGCCUGCAGGCGGUCUUGUAAGUUGGACGUGAAAUCUCUCGGCUCAACUGGGAGGUGCCGUUCAAUACUGCGAGGCUUGAGGGCAGAAGAGGGAAGUGGAAUUCCCGGUGUAGUGGUGAAAUGCGUAGAUAUCGGGAGGAACACCAGUGGCGAAGGCGGCUUCCUGGUCUGUACCUGACGCUAAGAGGCGAAAGCUAGGGGAGCGAACGGGAUUAGAAACCCCGGUAGUCCUAGCCGUAAACGAUGGACGCUAGGUGUAGGUGGUCCUAACCCCAUCUGUGCCGAAGCUAACGCGUUAAGCGUCCCGCCUGGGGACUACGACCGCAAGGUUAAAACUCAAAUGAAUUGACGG